rnacentral:rRNA from 1 species
GUUGAACGCUGGCGGCAUGCUUUACACAUGCAAGUCGAACGGUAACAGGCCGCCAGGUGCUGACGAGUGGCGAACGGGUGAGUAAUGCAUCGGAACGUGCCCAGUCGUGGGGGAUAACUACUCGAAAGAGUAGCUAAUACCGCAUACGAUCUAUGGAUGAAAGCGGGGGACCGUAAGGCCUCGCGCGAUUGGAGCGGCCGAUGUCAGAUUAGGUAGUUGGUGGGGUAAAGGUUCACCAAGCCAACGAUCUGUAGCUGGUCUGAGAGGACGACCCGCCACACUGGGACUGAGACACGGCCCAGACUCCUACGGGAAGCAGCAGUGGGGAAUUUUGGACGAUGGGCGAAAGCCUGAUCCAGCAAUGCCGCGUGCAGGAAGAAGGCCUUCGGGUUGUAAACUGCUUAUGUACGGAACGAAACGGCUCUGGUUAAUACCCGGGGAUAAUGACGGUACCGUAAGAAUAAGCUCCGGCUAACUACGUG